rnacentral:rRNA from 1 species
GCCCUAAACGAUGUCUACUAGUUGUCGGGUCUUAAUUGACUUGGUAACGCAGCUAACGCGUGAAGUAGACCGCCUGGGGAGUACGGUCGCAAGAUUAAAACUCAAAGGAAUUGACGGGGACCCGCACAAGCGGUGGAUGAUGUGGAUUAAUUCGAUGCAACGCGAAAAACCUUACCUACCCUUGACAUGUCAGGAACCUCCGAGAGAUUGGAGGGUGCCCGAAAGGGAACCUGAACACAGGUGCUGCAUGGCUGUCGUCAGCUCGUGUCGUGAGAUGUUGGGUUAAGUCCCGCAACGAGCGCAACCCUUGUCAUUAGUUGCUACGAAAGGGCACUCUAAUGAGACUGCCGGUGACAAACCGGAGGAAGGUGGGGAUGACGUCAAGUCCUCAUGGCCCUUAUGGGUAGGGCUUCACACGUCAUACAAUGGUCGGAACAGAGGGUUGCCAACCCGCGAGGGGGAGCUAAUCCCAGAAAACCGAUCGUAGUCCGGAUUGCACUCUGCAACUCGAGUGCAUGAAGCUGGAAUCGC